rnacentral:rRNA from 1 species
ACAGAGGGUGCGAACGUUGCUCGGAAUUACUGGGCGUAAAGCGCGUGUAGGCGGUCUGUUAAGUUGGUAGUGAAAUCCCAUGGCUCAACCAUGGAAGUGCUGCCAAAACUGGCAGGCUGGAGUACCGGAGAGGGUGGCGGAAUUCCCAGUGUAGAGGUGAAAUUCGUAGAUAUUGGGAGGAACACCGGUGGCGAAGGCGGCCGUCUGGACGAUGACUGACGCUGAGAUGCGAAAGCGUGGGGAGCAAACAGGA